UCAGCUUUCUGUAACAAGUCAAUGUUAAAAUAUUGUUACGCUGCAUUAUGUCUCAAUUACGGUUAGGCAAAAUGUUCUUGUGAUCAGUGGUUUAGCAUUAUAUUUUCUCUAGUAAAUAUUUUAGUGUCAGAGUAUAACCUGCUAUAUGGACAGUCAAAGUCACAAAUUUAUAAUAUAAUUAUAAACAAUACGCCAAUUUGUCCUAGUUUAGAUAACUGGAUCUUAGCGACAUCGAUUUCACAUUGUGAUUCUACAAAUGAUUCUUUACCUAGUACAACAGAUAUUAGAAGAUUGUUUGUAUCUAAAAGUGUUACAGGGUGUGGAUAAUAAGAUGAUUGCAGUACAUCAUGUACUUGGUGAAGUUGAAUUACUUUCUUCCUACUAGAUACAGGCUCAGAACUAGAAUUGGUUUCUUUGUAAUUUCAGCCAUUUGUGGGACCUAUAUUGGCAACUCAAUCGUAACAGAUACUAAUACCCUGCUAUAGGACCACCAUGCUUUUAGGUAGAGUAUGGAAGCUGAGUUCAAAGUUGCACACUGUAGUUACUGUGUAACAGUCUUCAUUUAAAAACCAGUCAGUUAGUUAAAUUUAAAAAGUAGCUUUCCAUGAUCAUUUUUUACCAUGCCUCUUUGAUGCCUUUGAUGAGCUCUGUGUCUGUUUUAUAGUCUUAUUACUUUGGAACCUGCAUCAUACUAAUUGCAGCGGUGGUUAAGGUACAUUUACAGUACAAGCCAUUAUAUCGAUCCUAUCAAAAUACAACAUAUGUUUAAAUAAGCCAUGAUCUGUUCCUACGAUGACAUAAUUCACGUCAAGAUAUAACAAUUUCAGAAUAUCAAAUUGUGAGUAAUUUAGUUUGUCAAAAAAUAUCGGGAAACUCGCAGUUAGACACUACGUACUCGGAGGCUUAACAAACCUGAAUCGAGGUAGUGUCAAAUACUAGCGAUUAUCUUUGGGAAUUAUAUAUCUACCAGAAGGAAGAGAGGAGCAUCAUCGUACAUUGACAAUAUGUGAGGGAUGCCACCGUGCUGUUAUCAUUGCAGGAUGUGGAAAUUUCAAAGAGAUGAUAAGUAAUGUACCAUUAGUUUGCCAUGUAUGUCCAAGGGGGAGUGUUUAUGAUGAACAAGAGAACCUGCUAGAAGACAAGCUCAUUAAUUUCAUGAUACUUGCAAUUGUCCAAGCAAAACUCUAGUGAGAACGAGGGCGAUUGUGCAAAGAUCGGCAACCAAAUGGUGCCUUCUGCAAAACUGAAAUGAUGAACUAGCUGUCUGUCUUCAACUACUUCAACCAACUGAGUUUUCACACAUGGAUGGUCAAGGCGUUGGCGAGGAGCGUGAAGAGUAUCGCAUCAUGAUUAGCAAGACCUUGAGAAGUGAGGAGGAAGGAUAUCAGUUCUGCAAUGAGUAUCGGAUGAGACCACUAGCUCGUGUAUAUGGCCACAUGAGAUUUAACUAAAUUUGUGUUACAAUUCAACUCCAGGUUCUGAUGAAUGAUGUUGGUCAGGUGAUGGUCUGUGCAAGUUGAGUUUUGUAAGACUAUACUGUCUGAUUGUGCUUCGGCGGAGUCAUCAUUCCAGAAAAGGGCUGGCAUGUGUACAUAUGUACCAUUCACAUAGAAAUUAGCUUAUUCUGUGAUAUACUUCCAGAAUUUUGAGCAAUCAGAUGAGUUUGCGUCCUGUAUUAGAAGGAUUGUGUGUGAUGUAUAUUGUUGUAAAUGAUUAUAACCACAUUGUUUUGCUCAUGAAUAAAGUUAUCUCUGUGAGUUGUGAGAAA